UGCCAGCCUCCGCGGUACCCCUUAUUGGGCAAGCGUUGUCCGGAUUUAUUGGGCGUAAAGAGCUCGUAGGUGGCUGAGUAAGUCGGAUGUUAAAUCUCCAGGCUCAACCUGGAACACCACCCGAUACUGCUCUGGCUAGAGUCCGGUAGGGGAGCGUGGUAUUCCUGGUGUAGCGGUGAAAUGCGCAGAUAUCAGGAGGAACACCAGCGGCGAAGGCGGCGCUCUGGGCCGGCACUGACACUGAGGAGCGAAAGCAUGGGUAGCAAACCGGAUUAGAUA
rnacentral:rRNA from 1 species